rnacentral:lncRNA from 1 species
CUUAAAGUGCCCUUUGUGGGUUUUCACCUUGGUCUUUUUCGUUAUUUAGGAAUCAAAACGCCCUUUGCGGGUUUUCACCUUGGUCCCUUCUCCUUCAAGUGAAGUAUUUCUUGACUGAAUCUGAGUUUACAGGAUUUGACAAGUUUUUACCAUCCAUCUCACUUAGAAUUAAAGCUCCUCCGGAAAAGACUUUCUUUACAACAUAAGGACCUUCCCAAUUUGGCAUCCAUUUUCCUCUAAAAUCUUUU